UUUUGGAGCGUCAAGAAAAGGGGGCCUACAUCCUUGUACUUAUUAGCAUUUCUGAAGUCUAAUUGUAAACCCAGCUGUGUAUUGUACAGUUUACGGUCAUUAGGGUGCAGUUAUACAAGUGGAAGAAAAAAUGAUUUUAUUUGCUCAUUGAUGCAAAUCAUUACGUGUCCCACAGAAAGGGGGAGGCGGGCGCACACAGUCACGGUUUAUCACAGCUCAAGUCGCCCUCGUUUACAUUCUAAUUGGGAUCCACUUCUCCUUGGUGACCCGUGGGGGCCCCUGCCAAGAUCCUCAAUCCCUCCGUGUGCCGACAGCGGGCGUGUAAACAGAGCUGAUGCUUUCUGACAGAUCCAUUCAGAGCAAAGAUGAUGUAUUCUCUCGCUCUUUUCUUUUUUCACAAACCCCAAUUCCCUGCCUUUCAAAACACACCUUUAUUUUACAGAAUAGGGAAGGUGGAGAUUGAAUUAAGAUUAGCAGUGCUCUUCUUCUUCCCGAAAUUAUCUUUUUAUUCUCUAAUCUGCUCAAGGUUGAAGAGCAAUGGGCUCAGCCAUCAAAGGAAAUCACCCCCUACCUGUAGUCUUGUGCGGAGGUGUGGUGACUCUGUCCGGGGUUUUCAUGAAUUCCCGACAUCCUGGUUGUAAUUCCACUUUCAAUCAUCUUCUGGCAGAUAAAAUGUUGCAAAUCCUGUGGGAAGUGAUCCGGCCGGUGACGUUAAUUGACUUGAACCACAUGGGACACUACAGAUGGUAAAUCGCGAAGUCACAAUGGUCACAAUCAAUGCGCACUUGCAACGGACAAAAAGACGCACCCAGAGAAGAAAACCCUGGGUCUUAAAGCCCGCGUGUGUCCCUGUCCUGAUGCUCUGCCACUGGACUCCAUCCACUAUUUGCAAAGUUUUGUUAUGACUAAUGAGAGACAUGGAGUGACCUUUUGGCCGGCUGUGUCCCAGACUGAAUUACACUGGACCACAGAAGUGGAUGAGUCCACGGCAUUGUCUUGAGAAUAUCUGUCUUUGAUGGGUCAGAGAGUUCAUUAGGAAAGCUUAAAAAGCUUUAGUGUCCACAUGGUCAACAUAAGUGCCCAUUGAUAAAUAAUUAGGCACAACACUGUUGGCUCUGCUGACAAAAACAUCUCAUUUCAGAUUCUGUUGUCAUUUCUUUUGUCAUUCCAAAUUAACAAUACUGACCUUUUUCCUUCUAUUAUUCAUAAUCAAACCCAAAGAUUUUAA